rnacentral:rRNA from 1 species
AAGACCUUGCACUUUUGGAGCGGCCGAUGUCUGAUUAGCUAGUUGGUGGGGUAAUGGCCUACCAAAGCUUCGAUCAGUAGCUGGUCUGAGAGGACGGCCAGCCACACUGGGACUGAGACACGGCCCAGACUCCUACGGGAGGCAGCAGUGGGGAAUUUUGGACAAUGGGCGCAAGCCUGAUCCAGCCAUGCCGCGUGAGUGAAGAAGGCCUUCGGGUUGUAAAGCUCUUUCAGCCGGGAAGAAAAGGUUGCGACUAAUAAUCGCAAUCCGUGACGGUACCGAAAGAAGAAGCACCGGCUAACUACGUGCCAGCAGCCGCGGUAAUACGUAGGGUGCGAGCGUUAAUCGGAAUUACUGGGCGUAAAGGGUGCGCAGGCGGUUUUGUAAGUCAGAUGUGAAAUCCCCGGGCUUAACCUGGGAACU